GAGGGUAUAGCUCAGUGGUAGAGCACAUGCCUAGCAUGCAUGAGGUCCUGGGUUCAAUCCCCAGUACCUCCA
rnacentral:tRNA from 1 species